ACUAAUAAGUGUAGAAAACAAGGGAGUGAGUGACGAGUGGUGGAUUUCCACUCAUUUAAAUAACAAUCAUUAUUGUUGGGACCCCUCUCUGUCUAGGAUUAUUGCGUACAAGAUGGAUACAUAAUUGAUGUAAGUCUUAUUGUUUUUAAAUGAGAUUGUUCAUACAUAUCCAUACACAACAACAAAAGCAACAUAUCUGAUGUCAUCCCACAAAUAGGAUUUGAAAAGGGUGAGAUAUACACAAACUAGGGUUUGAAAAGAGGAAGAUUUACAAAAACAUCUUGUUGUGAUUGUGAGAAGAGGGGUCCCAACAAUAAUGAUUCACAUGAAUUUCAUAAGGCAGUAGUUUUGAAAUCCAUUUUAGUGUCCCAUAAACUUCAAAAAACUACUCCCCCAUAAAAUCAAUUACUCUAAUCAAUUUUUGGACAAGAAUUCCAUUCAAGUAUUUAUUAAACUCAAGGUAUGCUUUCUGCAAAAGCAUGGACUACGACAACGUCAACCAAAUGGAGGAAAAAAUGGAAGAAAAUAUCAUGGGAGAGGAAAUUUUUAGUCAUGAGCUUUUAAUGUUCGCUAAAUUCAGCGAUUGGAUGUCCACCUCCACAAAAGAAUAUCAUAAAGGAGAGUGGUCCUCUUAUAAAACGUCUCCAUGGGAACAUCAUACUUCUAUGGGAGAUUCGAGGCCAGUGAAUAGAUGUGUUUUGUUUUAAACUAGACAAGGUUAAACACAUGGUGGAUCAAGAUUUCUAUGACAAUAUUGCCGAAGGGCCUUGUGAUGUUGAAUUGGACGACUUAGCAUUGAAUUGAAGUGUGAAUAAGGGGAUGAAGGUA